rnacentral:rRNA from 1 species
AUGAACGCUGGCGGCGUGCCUAAUACAUGCAAGUCGAGCGAACAGACGAGGAGCUUGCUCCUCUGACGUUAGCGGCGGACGGGGGAGUAACACGUGGAUAACCUACCUAUACGACUGGGAUAACUUCGGGAAACCGGAGCUAAUACCGGAUAAUAUAUUGAACCGCAUGGUUCAAUAGUGAAAGACGGUUUUGCUGUCACUUAUAGAUGGAUCCGCGCCGCAUUAGCUAGUUGGUAAGUUAACGGCUUACCAAGGCAACGAUGCGUAGCCGACCUGAGAGAGUGAUCGGCGACACUGGAACUGAGACACGGUCCAGACUCCUACGGGAGGCAGCAGUAGGGAAUCUGCCGCAAUAGUCGAAAGCCUGACGGAGCAACGCCGCGUGAGUGAUGAAGGUCUUCGGAUCGUAAAGCUCUGUUAUUAGGGAAGAACAAAUGUGUAAGUAAAUAUGCACGUCUUGACGGUACCUAAUCAGAAAGCCACGGCUAACUACGUG